GGAUCAGCCCGCGCCCCGUAAAACGGGACGGCCCGCCCGAGGACCCCUAAACUCUGUUUUUAGUGGAACUUCUGAGUAAAACAAACAAAUAAAUCAAAACUUUCAACAACGGAUCUCUUGGUUCUGGCAUCGAUGAAGAACGCAGCAAAAUGCGAUAAGUAAUGUGAAUUGCAGAAUUCAGUGAAUCAUCGAAUCUUUGAACGCACAUUGCGCCCGCCAGUAUUCUGGCGGCAUGCCUGUUCGAGCGUCAUUUCAACCCUCAAGCUCAGCUUGGUGUUGGGACUCGCGGUAACCCGCGUUCCCCAAAUCGAUUGGCGGUCACGUCGAGCUUCCAUAGCGUAGUAAUCAUACACCUCGUUACUGGUAAUCGUCGCGGCCACGCCGUAAAACCCCAACUUCUGAAUGUUGACCUCGGAUCAGGUAGGAAUACCCGCUGAACUUAAGCA
rnacentral:rRNA from 1 species